CAGAAGUUUAGGAUAGUUAGUCCAAGAGCCUUCAAAGCCCUAAGCAAACCCACAAAGUUUAACUUCUGA
rnacentral:tRNA from 1 species